rnacentral:rRNA from 1 species
AUGAACGCUGGCGGUAUGCUUAACACAUGCAAGUCGAACGGCGCUUUAGGGCACAGUGGCGGACGGGUGAGUAACGCGUGAGAAUCUGGCUUUAGGUCUGGGACAACCACUGGAAACGGUGGCUAAUACCGGAUGUGCCGAAAGGUGAAAGGUUAACUGCCUGAAGAUGAGCUCGCGUCUGAUUAGCUAGUAGGUGUGGUAAAGGCGCACCUAGGCGACGAUCAGUAGCUGGUCUGAGAGGACGAUCAGCCACACUGGGACUGAGACACGGCCCAGACUCCUACGGGAGGCAGCAGUGGGGAAUUUUCCGCAAUGGGCGAAAGCCUGACGGAGCAAUACCGCGUGAGGGAGGAAGGCUCUUGGGUCGUAAACCUCUUUUCUCAGGGAAGAACAAAAUGACGGUACCUGAGGAAUAAGCAUCGGCUAACUCCAU